ACCGCUAUUUCGUGUUUUACACCGCAAUUUUUUCCCCUCGCAUUCAUUGUUGAGCUAGAGGGCUGGUUGUCCAGUGCGUGCCCUCUCUCGUCUGACAUUAUCCUUUGAAAAGGUAUUCCUGUAAGUACCUGACACCCGACGCAUUGUCCCUCCCUCAGUGGCGGUAGCGUGCUGUGUCUGAGAAAAAAGCCCCAAAAACCUGUGCGGAGAUAUCCAACGUUUAUCUCAACCUCUCACAAAAGCUCUAAGACACAGAUGCCACCGUCAAUGCAGUAGACAUGUGAUAGACGUGUGUUCUCUUCGCUAGCUGUCGGUGACAGCUGAAUCCGAGACAUUAACAUUUUCAUUUAGAGUACUUGUAUAUCUUCUCCGUACUUUCUGACAUGUCGAGCCGGAGCAGCAACACCGUUCUUAUUGAAAAUAAUCGACCUUUCAUGGAGCCAUCCAUCCAUCCCGGUUAAAGCCGUAACUAUUUUACCCGGGAGGGACACGGGAAACCCGGGUUAGUGCCUCUGCUCCGCCCCGAUCUCAGCAAACCAACCAUCUUUCCCUAGCCCCUGAAAUAACCCCGCGGGUCUUUUCCUGGGAGGAUUUUGGGGCGUUCAAGUCGACAAAUCAUCUGUAAAAUGCAACCUCGUUGAGUCGUUGCCUCUCUUUGGGGAGGAAUAAAAUUCUAAGCUCUUUUUUUUCUUCUUGGAAUCCCUGACUGGCUUAAGUGCGAAUUGAGUCCCACUUAUUUAUGAGCAAAAAUGAAAAUGUAUGGAUACUGUUCUUUAUUUGAAGCCGUGGUAG
rnacentral:sRNA from 1 species